UUAGUGUAGUAAACAAUGACUGUUUUCUACAGUCAUUGAUGUUCGGAGAGUGUGUGGUUUGUUUGUUUAUUUGUUUUAAAUUUAAUCAGAGAUGAAUAGCAUAGCACGCCUCUCACAGUGGUACAGCCGCACCGCGAUCUCAGAUGUUCCCCCAGUCAUUGUGAACAUGGAGGCAGCUGCAGUCAGUCAUGGAACACCUUCCGCUGUAACUGCUCUGGGACCGGGUACAGCAGAGCCACCUGUCACAGCUUGACUUCAAGCAUGGCUAUGCAGUCUUUGUUCAGCAGUGGCAACAGCAGCCUCUGUAAACCUGGCAGCCAGUGUGGUCUUCUGCUGCUGUAUCCCAUCAAGAUGUGACAUGCACCUCUGCAUGCCGUAGCUCCACUGCAAUAUACGAGCAGUCCUGCAAGGCUUACAAACACAAAGGCAACGUUUCGGGUUAUUAUUACAUUGAUGUGGACAGCAGCGGACCCAUCAAGCCACAGCUGUUAUACUGCAACAUGACAGGUAGCUGAGCUGAUCCACACACAUCAAAAGACACACGCGUCAACAUGCCGGGUGCACAAUCUCUUCCUCUCUCUCUUUCAUCCUGCCUUAUUCUCAGUCUUUCAGUUUUAACUGAAACUGAAGCACCCCAUUAAAACUCUUGGACAAACCUUUUCUGGUGAAAAGACUCUGUGCCAAGACUGUGAGCAGCUUGGUUGAUGUGUUGCUGCUGCUGUGCUGUUACUGCACCUGUGUAACAUUUUUAUCUUUGCUGUAGUUUUAAACAGGAAGUUUAUGUUUCAUCGCAUGUCUAAAUAAAGGACACGUCUGCUGAAAUUCUGCACUUUUCUGACUUGCAAUAAAAAAGAUGAUCAACGCCAAUAAUUAACCACCACCAUGGUUAAUUAUUGGCGUUGAUCGACUUGGUAGGAAUGAUGGGACUGACCUACAAACAGGUCAGUGUUUUGGAAGGUUACUAGAACAUAACAAAUUAAAUUCAUGUUCAGUUUUGGGUCCAUUGUACUCACUGAAUUUUGUCCGAUUUCUUCCAUAUUUAGAUAAAGGAUUGUUUUCAAAAGAGACGGCAGGUUUUGGAGGAGUUCACAUCCAUAGCAUGUGAUUAGGGGCGUCCCACGUCUAAGUAUCUCCUAUUAUUAAACAGAAUUGAUCUGAUCUGGGAAGCUGAUUGUAUUUGAUGAAAUGUAGUGCCUAUAAUUUAAAACUCUGUAUUGUGGUUUUACUUACAGUCCACCUUUUUGUGAUGAAGUUUCAGGCAGAGGGACAGCCCCAGCUCACUAAAACUAGCAUGUGGAGACAAACUUUAUGAAAAUGUACAAUCAGACCCUCUAUUUGCAUAAAUCACAUUUGACAUUCCCCAACUCCCCCCAGAUGUUUGGCUGGUCCAUGCCACCAAACAGCAGCCAUCAUGAAUUCAACUCUAGUCUUCAGCGCUGCUUUCAAUGUAAACAACCCCAGAUUUCACAGUGCAACUUUUGACAGAAAGUGGAGAGCCUUGCUAACUCCUAAUGCUCCUUUAAUCACAGAUAUUGUCAAUGCUGCCAUCUAUUGACCAAUAAUGGAUCUGACAGCAAUAUUGUGUUUUAGCCAAGACACCAUAAAGAUGGCUGUAUCUACUAUUACAUCCCCCAUUUCUGAAGUAUCAUUCUGAAGCCUGAAAAUGAGGAUUUCUGCCAUUUUGGUUUUAAAAACAAAGAUGUCAGAAAUAUGAGCAUGGGUGGGUCUGACUGUCAAACCACAUGUUCGUGGCUUUCAGGUAGAUUUAAAUCAUCUGCGUUUUUACAGCAUGAAAGCUGCAUGCAUGUUUUAUACCGUCCCAUUUUUUUCUGUAAAUGUUAGAAUGAAAAAGUCCCCUUUUUUAAAUAUAUAUGUGUAUUGUAAAUGUUUCACAGUCUGUGCAAUCAAUGAUUUUUCUGCCUCCAUGUUUUCUUCUGCUUUCAUUGAGUCUCUAACACAAUAAUCUGCAAUAUUUGAUAGUAUGUUAAAAAGUACAUGCAUUUUUCAGAAGUCGUGAAAUCUUCUUUAGCCUCUCAUCACAGGUGGGUGUGUGCUUACUCCUGCAGACAUCAGCCAGAGAUUGUAAAUUCUAGCUAGUAUCAAUAAUUGGCUGAAGGCAUAUCAGGAUUCUGUGCAUUUUUAACACUAAAUUCUAAUUUUCUUCUCCUCUGUAAGAAUAGGUGAACUAAUAUUCUAAUCUACAAUAUUUGAUCAUGUUGAUGAAAAUCAGAUUUGCUCUCUCUUAGUAAAGGAAAAACAUGGGGUGAAUUUUAGGCCUAAUCUUAAAACCUGUGGAUUUUAGAAAUAUUAGAAUUUAUUCAGAUCUGGAGAUACUGUAAAUUAGAUUCUAUUAAGAACUCAUGCUUGGAAAUGAGAACAUAUCACACAUUUUGUGUCACAGAUUAUUAGGCAGAGGACUCACUCGCAGGACUCUGAAGUUUAGAGAGAAGGUGAAGGUUUAUUUACGAUGUGGCACCAAGUGAGAAUAUAUACAUAUGUACAGUGAGACAGAUAACACAGGGCUCCAGGGAGUGGAGGGGGGUCCGAAGGGAAGGUCCAAGGCGGGGGUACACACGUUCCUCUUCAACUUAAUCCACAACUCACUCUGAAUGUCCACUCCAAAAUACUCAUGCUCACUCACACACAUCCACAGAAAUCCAGAUGGCAGGGAAUCUAGAAGGCCUGUACACAGAGAAAAACAAUGUUAGGAGGAAACUCUAGGGGAUCACAAGGAAUACUUUGAAAGGCUAGGCUACACUGACGCUAGGCAGUGUGACAAUCAGCGAGGAAGCAGCCUCUCUUGCCAUCUUAAGUAGUCUGCCAGGAUCAGUGUGAAUGAGCCACAGGUGUGUGUUCAGGGCGGGUUCAGAGGCGGGGAAUC